rnacentral:rRNA from 1 species
GUUGUAUGGUUAAGUGAUUAAGCGUAGACGGUGGAUGCCUUGGCAGUCAGAGGCGAUGAAGGACGUACUAACCUGCGAAAAGCGAUGGUGAGCU